rnacentral:rRNA from 1 species
UACGGAAGGGGCUAGCGUUGCUCGGAAUCACUGGGCGUAAAGGGUGCGUAGGCGGGUUUUAAGUCAGAGGUGAAAUCCUGGAGCUACAACGUCCAGAACUGCCUUUGAUACUGAGAAUCUUGAGUACGGGAGAGGUGAGUGGAACUGCGAGUGUAGAGGUGAAAUUCGUAGAUAUUCGCAAGAACACCAGUGGCGAAGGCGGCUCACUGGCCCGUUACUGACGCUGAGGCACGAAAGCGUGGGGAGCAAACAGG